CGAAGUGUGGCACAGUAGGCAGCGCACUAGCUUACAAAGCCAAAAGUUCCGGGUUUGAUUCCCGGUAAUACAU
rnacentral:tRNA from 1 species